ACCUCUGCUUGCCACACCGCUGCAUUACCUCCUCCACGCCCUCUCCCUUCUGGAUCUCUCUCCUCGCUAAGGCUCGCGACUCUCACAGCACGCGAGUAGCCGCCAUCGAGCUGGCGAUGGUGCAGACGAUGGCCGCACGGCAAAGGGAGCGGAGGUGCCACUGGCACGGGGCCACUCGCCGGCCUGCGCACGCAGAUGAGGCUGCACGUGCCUCUUCACGGCGGCGGUGGCCACCUCAAGCGGUCACGACAGCGACAAGAUUCCUCAUCUGUGGCGAGCCCCUGAUGCGGCGACGGCGGUGGCGUGACUUCCUCAUGCGCGGCAUGCCCCUGAUGCGGCAUCGGCGGAGCGGCUCCCUGAUUCGUUGCGGUGGCGCAGCGGAACCGGCGCGCGGGCUGCUGAAUCCUGAUCUGUGACAGUAGCAGCAGUUCGGCCACUCAGCACACCUGAAGGCAACGACGACGCCGGCCAAGGUAAAAUUAUCCGCGGUGCCCAGCUUAGUGGAGAUUUAGGGUUCGUUGGCAAAAAUUCGUGAACUAAGGUAUGCAAAAUUACAAAUCCGCUUGCUAUGCUCUACUCAAUCGAAUGCACUAGGGUUUAUGCAAAUUCUGAGAUAAAUAAACAUUGUGUGUUAUCCAACGCAAGGUAUGCAAAAUUGCAAAUCCUAGCCUGCCCUGCUCUGUCAAUCGAAUGUACUAGGGUUUAUGCAAAUUCUGAGAUAAAUAAACAUUGUUUUCUGUAGAUAGUUAUAUAGGAAUUGUAUACAUAUAUAUACAUUUAUUUUUCUUAUUUGCACAAAUGAAUUAGACAGAAUGUACCAGGGUUUAUACAAUUUCUAAGAUAAAUACACAUUGUUUCCAUUGGUGUAGGAGAGUUAUUUAGGGAUGGUACAAUAACUUGUACACAUCUGUAUAUACCAAACCUUUUCUUAUCUGCACAAAUGAAUUAGAAAUAAUAAACUAAGUAAAUAAACAUUUUUUUGCAUUGGUGGAGGGUUAUCUAGGAAUUGUACAGUAACUUGUAUAGAUCAGUUUUUUUGCCAAUUGUCUAAACCAAACUUUUGUUAUCCGCGCAAAUUUAGAAGAGCGCAGUUUGUUUGGAGUUUUUACCUGUUUUAUUGGUACAAGCUUGCUGUUGAUUCAAUUGGAAUCAGGGGGAGCCUUGAAGAAAGCUAAAAUGAAAAAAUGUAAUUGCAAAUAGGAGAUGAGGAUUCAUAUUUGAUUUUCCUGGAAAUGAUGGUUUUGCUGAUAUUUGACGUUGUAAACAGAAAUUGCUUAAAUGAGUUGUCCUAGAGGUAGUGAAAAGGAUGAGUUAUACCCAGCAGCAGAUAUAGUGCCUCAGGAUAUUCAUUAGCUUGCACGAGGUAAAGCAAUAUACCGAUAUAUCGAUUCAGUGCCAUAUAGAAUGUAUAGCUUUUGACAAGUCUAUCUAACAUGUGCCUGAGUUUACGAGAUCCACAAGCUUAUGGAUUAUCUUGUGAUAACCACAUCCUCUCGAUAUUUAAUUAAAUUGGAUAUUUUUACGCUUUUGAGAAAUACCUUGGCCUCAUUGAACUUAAAAUGCAGUGAUAGUGGGUGGACAAGUAGCUGAGGUGCAUGAUCCUCUUAUAGUAGCUGAGCCAUUGCUUCUAUAGUGGUCAUGCUCUUGUCUUUGUUUUCAAUGAUAGGAUUCAUGCACAGUUUUAUAUCUUAGAUUAGAUGUCUGCACGCUGGUCUUUGACAAUGAUACAUGUCUUCUUAGAUUAGCUGACCCAUUGCUUCUAUAGUGUUGCAGUCAUUAAGGACAUGUAGUGGAUGAGAACGUCUAGGUAAUACUUAGAGAGUGCUCAUGAUUUUUCCUAGUCAAGUCUAAAUCUGUAGCAAGAUGAAUUUUGAUAGUUGCAUCUUAAGUGGCCUGUCGAGCAUGAUUAAGGCCUUGAUUGUGCUGGUUGAUGUGCUACCUGUACGACCAAUUGGCGAAGAGCUGUGAUUCACAAACACACUAUGCAAGCGAUUAGCGAUUGGGGUUUCCUUCUGAUUGGUUGUAGUGAUUUGUUCUCUUCAGGUGCGGUGGUCCAUAUACAUGUUGGAUCCAAUUGGAUUGUUUUCUGCACGUCUACAAUUAUCAGCUGGUUGAUAUCACGAAAGACAGGAGGCAAGAUUGCUUCCAAUGAGCACACAUUGCCCAUGGGGGUUCAUUGGAGUUCCCAAAGUUUGUUGCUCUUCAUCAGUGAAGCUAGGAUCAUGCUGUUCUGCUGAUCAGUAAGCUAUAUCUUGAAGUUCAGUUUGGUUUUCAUUUCUAGUUUUUGAAGUCAUUUAUGAAAUUUAGUGUAAUCUCUCUAAUGGUAAAACAUUAGCACACUACUUAGUACACCUUCACACAUUGGGACAUGUCUGAUUUCAAGUAGGAGCAACUGCCAAGUGAUGACAAUAGGAAGGCUGGUAGUGACUCAACACAUAUAGUCAGCUGAACUUUUACACACAUUUAUAUGGCUGUGAUGUGAACAUGUCAGUCUUGUAUCUCUCUUAAAGGGAGCAAGAAGCCUCAUUCAGGAGUGAGGACCUAAACAUCAAGGCUGAGGAGCAUUAUUUGGAGAUGGAUAGUUGAUUAUUUUUCCACCUUAUGAUUGUAUCUGAUUACAAAUAUAAUAUGUAUGUCUGCAAGAUUUAAAUGUUUGGAUGUAAUCUUUACUAUAAUUGAAAUCUUCUCCAAGCAAAUCCCACCUACAAGAUCAACGACUCACAGCAUAUGUCAUACAGAUUAGACGGUCCAGAUUAGAAGUAUGAUGACGACCUUACAUCUCUACUCUCCGCCCUACUCUCCGUCCUCAGCCUCAACCAAGGACAAGCACCGGCCAGCAGCGGAGCCGUGCCGCUCGAGCACGAGGUCGACGACAAGCAAGUCCACGAGCACGUCAGUGAGGGGGUCAUGCGCUUGUCCUCCGGCAGCGGCGGCUCCGGCGGAGGGGGUUCUCGUUCCAGCAGCAGCGGAUCAAGUGGCGGUUCUGGUUCUCGUUCCGACAGUGGAUCAUCAAGCGGCGGUGGCGGUUCUCGUUCCGGCGGCAGCGGGUCAAAGGGCGGCGGUUCCCGUUCCGGCGGUGGAUCAAGAGGCGGUGGCUCUCGUUCCGGCAGCGGGUCAAAGGGCGGCGGUUCCCGUUCCGGCGGUGGAUCAAGAGGCGGCGGCUCGAGAGGCACCACGAACUAUGAUGAUGAUGAUGAUAGCGUGCUUGACGUGCUCGAUUACGACGAUUCGUCUGCCGGUGCCCGCGGCGGCGCUUGGAAGACUGGAGUCGCUGCCACGUUUCUUGCCGUCGCCUCGCUCUUGUACAUCUAGACAC